rnacentral:rRNA from 1 species
GACGAACGCUGGCGGCGUGCCUAAUACAUGCAAGUAGAACGCUGAAGGAGGAGCUUGCUUCUCUGGAUGAGUUGCGAACGGGUGAGUAACGCGUAGGUAACCUGCCUGGUAGCGGGGGAUAACUAUUGGAAACGAUAGCUAAUACCGCAUAAGAGUAGAUGUUGCAUGACAUUUGCUUAAAAGGUGCAAUUGCAUCACUACCAGAUGGACCUGCGUUGUAUUAGCUAGUUGGUGGGGUAACGGCUCACCAAGGCGACGAUACAUAGCCGACCUGAGAGGGGGGUCGGCCACACUGGGACUGAGACACGGCCCAGACUCCUACGGGAGGCAGCAGUAGGGAAUCUUCGGCAAUGGACGGAAGUCUGACCGAGCAACGCCGCGUGAGUGAAGAAGGGUGUCGGAUCGUAAAGCUCUGUUGUAAGAGAAGAACGAGUGUGAGAGUGGAAAGUUCACACUGUGACGGUAGCUUAACAGAAAGGGACGGCUAACUACGUG